AACGAACGCUGGCGGCAUGCCUAACACAUGCGAGUCGAACGAGACCUUCGGGUCUAGUGGCGCACGGGUGCGUAACGCGUGGGAACCUGCCCUUAGGUUCGGAAUAACUCCCCGAAAGGGGUGCUAAUACCGGAUAAUGUCUUCGGACCAAAGAUUUAUCGCCUUUGGAUGGGCCCGCGUUGGAUUAGCUAGUUGGUAGGGUAAAAGCCUACCAAGGCGACGAUCCAUAGCUGGUCUGAGAGGAUGAUCAGCCACACUGGGACUGAGACACGACCCAGACUCCUACGGGAGGCAGCAGUGGGGAAUAUUGGACAAUGGGCGAAAGCCUGAUCCAGCAAUGCCGCGUGAGUGAUGAAGGCCUUAGGGUUGUAAAGCUCUUUUACCCGGGAUGAUAAUGACAGUACCGGGAGAAUAAGCUCCGGCUAACUCCGUG
rnacentral:rRNA from 1 species